GGAAGGUCCGGGCGUUAUCCGGAUUUAUUGGGUUUAAAGGGAGCGUAGGCCGGAGAUUAAGCGUGUUGUGAAAUGUAGAUGCUCAACAUCUGCACUGCAGCGCGAACUGGUUUCCUUGAGUACGCAUAAAGUGGGCGGAAUUCGUGGUGUAGCGGUGAAAUGCUUAGAUAUCACGAAGAACUCCGAUUGCGAAGGCAGCUCACUGGGGCGCAACUGACGCUGAAGCUCGAAAGCGCGGGUAUCGAACAGGAUUAGAUACCCUGGUAGUCCGCGCGGUAAACGAUGGAUGCCCGCUGUUGGGCCAACUGGUUCAGCGGCCAAGCGAAAGCAUUAAGCAUCCCACCUGGGGAGU
rnacentral:rRNA from 1 species